CCUACGGGCGGCAGUGGGGAAUAUUGGACAAUGGGCGAAAGCCUGAUCCAGCCAUGCCGCGUGUGUGAAGAAGGCCUUCGGGUUGUAAAGCACUUUCAGUGGGGAAGAAAGCCUUGGGGCUAAUACCCUCGAGGAAGGACAUCACCCACAGAAGAAGCACCGGCUAACUCCGUGCCAGCAGCCGCGGUAAUACGGAGGGUGCGAGCGUUAAUCGGAAUUACUGGGCGUAAAGCGCGCGUAGGCGGUCUGAUAAGCCGGUUGUGAAAGCCCCGGGCUCAACCUGGGAACGGCAUCCGGAACUGUCCGGCUAGAGUGCAGGAGAGGAAGGUAGAAUUCCCGGUGUAGCGGUGAAAUGCGUAGAGAUCGGGAGGAAUACCAGUGGCGAAGGCGGCCUUCUGGACUGACACUGACGCUGAGGUGCGAAAGCGUGGGUAGCAAACAGGAUUAGAUACCCGAGUAGUC
rnacentral:rRNA from 1 species